rnacentral:rRNA from 1 species
AGCGAACGCUGGCGGUAGGCCUAACACAUGCAAGUCGAACGGCAGCACAGUAAGUGCUUGCUCUUACGGGUGGCGAGUGGCGGACGGGUGAGGAAUACAUCGGAAUCUACUUUUUCGUGGGGGCUAACGUAGGGAAACUUCCGCUAGUACCGCAUACGACCUACGGAUGAAAGCAGGCGAUCUUCGGACCUUUCGCGAUUGAAUGAGCCGAGGUCGGAUUAGCUAGUUGGCGGGGUAAAGGCCCACCCAGGCCACGAUCCGUAGGUGGUCUGAGAGGAUGAUCAAGUACACUGGAUCUGAGAAACGCCCCAGACUCCUACGGGAGGCAGCAGUGGGGAAUCUUGCACAAUGGGGGCAAGCCGGAUCCAGCCAUACCGCGUGGAGGAAGAAGGCCUCCGGGUUGUAGAACCCUGUUGUUGGGAGAGAAAAGCAACUGUUUAAUCCCCCGCUGUACUGACGGUACCCGAAGAAGAAGCACCGGCUAACUUCGUG